CAGUCGCCACGGUAAUACGAAGGGGGCUAGCGUUGCUCGGAAUUACUGGGCGUAAAGCGCACGUAGGCGGAUCGAUCAGUCAGGGGUGAAAUCCCAGGGCUCAACCCUGGAACUGCCUUUGAUACUGUCGAUCUGGAGUAUGGAAGAGGUGAGUGGAAUUCCGAGUGUAGAGGUGAAAUUCGUAGAUAUUCGGAGGAACACCAGUGGCGAAGGCGGCUCACUGGUCCAUUACUGACGCUGAGGCACGAAAGCUAGGGGAGCAAACAGGAUUAGAUACCCCAGUAGUCCCUGUCUCUUAUAC
rnacentral:rRNA from 1 species